rnacentral:lncRNA from 1 species
AGGCUGCAAGCAGCUUGGAUACACUACUUCAAACUUUGAAGAGGAAGAGGAGGCAGCGUUUACGGAAGUGGGAUCUGGAACAAGCCUUGCUUACGCCAUGCCUGGUGCGGAAGGAUAUAUUGGCGCUUCACCUUGCAGACAGCUUGUUUUUCAAGGUUCAUCACUGCUUCUGGGAAUAGCGCGCCUUCUUGCGCCAUUUUACGAAGAGCAUCGGCGCUGCGGUUAUGGGGCAUCUCAGUGAACACUGGCGUUACUCCGUGAGGGAUGGCAUCGGACGUCAUGGUAAUUGGAACGCUACC